rnacentral:rRNA from 1 species
AGAGUUUGAUCCUGGCUCAGGAUGAACGCUGGCGGCGUGCUUAACACAUGCAAGUCGAACGUGCUAAUUGGGAGCCUAGCUCCCAUCUAGCAAGUGGCGGACGGGUGAGUAACGCGUGGGUAACCUACCUUAUGCAGGGGGAUAACGCUUGGAAACGAACGCUAAUACCGCAUAAACUAUGGUGCAUCGCAUGAUGCAUA